rnacentral:rRNA from 1 species
CGGGUUGUUAAAGUACUUUCAGCAGUGAGGAAGGUGGGUAUGUUAAUAGCAUACUCAUUUUGACGUUUAGCUGCAGAAGAAGCACCGGCUAACUCCGUGCCAGCAGCCGCGGUAAUACGGAGGGUGCGAGCGUUAAUCGGAAUUACUGGGCGUAAAGCGCAUGCAGGUGGUUUGUUAAGUCAGAUGUGAAAGCCCGGGGCUCAACCUCGGAAUUGCAUUUGAAACUGGCAAACUAGAGUACUGUAGAGGGGGUAGAAUUUCAGGUGUAGCGGUGAAAUGCGUAGAGAUCUGAAGGAAUACCGGUGGCGAAGGCGGCCCCCUGGACAGAUACUGACACUCAGAUGCGAAAGCGUGGGGAGCAAACAGGAUUAGAUACCCUGGGAG